rnacentral:rRNA from 1 species
GGGUUGUGAGGUUAAGUGACUAAGCGUACACGGUGGAUGCCCUGGCAGUCAGAGGCGAUGAAGGACGUGCUAAUCUGCGAUAAGCGUCGGUAAGGUGAUAUGAACCGUUAUAACCGGCGAUUUCCGAAUGGGGAAACCCAGUGUGUUUCGACACACUAUCAUUAACUGAAUCCAUAGGUUAAUGAGGCGAACCGGGGGAACUGAAACAUCUAAGUACCCCGAGGAAAAGAAAUCAACCGAGAUUCCCCCAGUAGCGGCGAGCGAACGGGGAGCAGCCCAGAGCCUGAAUCAGUGUGUGUGUUAGUGGAAGCGUCUGGAAAGGCGCGCGAUACAGGGUGACAGCCCCGUACACAAAAAUGCACAUACUGUGAGCUCGAUGAGUAGGGCGGGACACGUGGUAUCCUGUCUGAAUAUGGGGGGACCAUCCUCCAAGGCUAAAUACUCCUGACUGACCGAUAGUGAACCAGUACCGUGAGGGAAAGGCGAAAAGAA